AACGAACGCUGGCGGCAUGCCUAACACAUGCAAGUCGAACGAGACCUUCGGGUCUAGUGGCGCACGGGUGCGUAACGCGUGGGAACCUGCCCUUAGGUUCGGAAUAACUCCCCGAAAGGGGUGCUAAUACCGGAUAAUGUCUUCGGACCAAAGAUUUAUCGCCUUUGGAUGGGCCCGCGUUGGAUUAGCUAGUUGGUAGGGUAAAAGCCUACCAAGGCGACGAUCCAUAGCUGGUCUGAGAGGAUGAUCAGCCACACUGGGACUGAGACACGGCCCAGACUCCUACGGGAGGCAGCAGGGGGGAAUAUUGGACAAUGGGCGAAAGCCUGAUCCAGCAAUGCCGCGUGAGUGAUGAAGGCCUUAGGGUUGUAAAGCUCUUUUACCCGGGAUGAUAAUGACGGUACCGGGAGAAUAAGCGCCGGCUAACUCCGUG
rnacentral:rRNA from 1 species